GAUGAAGAACGUAGCGAAAUGCGAUAAGUAAUGUGAAUUGCAGAAUUCAGUGAAUCAUCGAGUCUUUGAACGCACAUUGCGCCCCCUGGUAUUCCGGGGGGCAUGCCUGUCCGAGCGUCAUUGCUGCCCUCAAGCACGGCUUGUGUGUUGGGCCGUCGUCCCCCUCCUAGGGGACGGGCCCGAAAGGCAGCGGCGGCACCGCGUCCGGUCCUCGAGCGUAUGGGGCUUCGUCACCCGCUCCGUGGGCCCGGCCGGCGCUUGCCGACGACCAUCAAUCUCUUUCUCCAGGUUGACCUCGGAUCAGGUAGGGAUACCCGCUGAACUUAAGCAUAUCAAUAAGCGGAGGA
rnacentral:misc_RNA from 1 species